rnacentral:other from 4 species
GCGGAUCUGCCCUACUCGUGACGAGGUCAAAUUCCGGUGGCCUUAAGCAAUUCCGAGGGAGCUGGCUCUGUCCGGAUCCUGGUCCGGUUACCUGGCGCCCACCUGUAAAAACAGGUCCUCGGGAAUUCGUUGCCUCAACGGUUGCGUGCGGUCCCCGC